UACGUAGGGUGCGAGCGUUAAUCGGAAUUACUGGGCGUAAAGCGUGCGCAGUCGGUUCUCCAAGUCCGUUGUGAAAGCCCCGGGCUCAACCUGGGAAUGGCAGUGGAAACUAGGGGACUGGAAUCUGGCAGAGGGGGGUGGAAUGCCGCGUGUAGCAGUGAAAUGCGUAGAGAUGCGGCGGAACACCGAUGGCGAAGGCAGCCCCCUGGGCUGAGAUUGACGCUCAGGCACGAAAGCGUGGGGAGCAAACAGG
rnacentral:rRNA from 1 species